AUAACAAUACAGGACUCUUUCGAGGCUCUGUAAUUGGAAUGAGUACACUUUAAAUCCUUUAACGAGGAUCUAUUGCCUGCUGCUGCUCGCACAGUCUCUCCAGCAUGUGCAA